rnacentral:lncRNA from 1 species
CUUCUUCUUGCUGCCUGCUGGCCUCCUGGGUUUACGGUGUCACUGCGGCCAGGGCUGGGGGAACAGGACGUCUAGAAGACGGUGUGAGUGGAAGACAUUUUAGGUCUGGCCCCUGGAGUUUGGCUGCUUCUACCCCCACCUCUCUCCCAAGAAGGGGACUCCUCUUAAUGUAUCAGGUAUGGGAUUUCCUCCCUCUAGAAUUUCUGGUGCCUUGUUAUGCCACGGCUGCCAUUCUUAGAAAUGCUAGGGGGUUCUUUGUCUCAUCCUGUCUCUUCUACCCCAUCAGCCCCUUUUCAUUUGUGGGUUCUGUGAAGACAUUCCUGACUCAGAGCAUUCUAAGAAGUCACAGACUGGAGUGUGGUCCAGGGUUGGUCUCCCAGGAGGGAUAUUUUUAGGUGAUGCAGGCCCUGCUAGGCAGAAGCCUGAGUUAAUGAGAAUAGUCCUGGUGAUGGGGGAAGAGGGUGAGGUGGACCUCAUACCCUACCUUCCCAAAUUUCCCAUAAAUUUGUGGCUAUGCUGCCCUCUGGUGGCUGAAUUUUAGUCUAUCCUGACAGGGACAUCUUUGUCUCCAACAACCGCAAUUGCUCUCCCUCUUGCUGCCCGUUAGGACAGGCCUUGAGGAGAAAAGAGAACCCUGAGGGUCCCUCACUUUGCGAGAUUUAUCUUCAAAGAUCUGAACCCUGUGGCAUGUUGGUUAAGAAUUCGGGCUUUCCCAGCCAGAUAAGGCUGAGUUUCACUCUGUUCUGCCACUCACUGUGUGACUUUGCACAAGUUAUGUAACCUCUCUGGGCCUCAGUUUCUCUUUGUGUAAAUGGGAUAAAUAGUACCAACCUCACAGAACUCUGUGAGAAAUUAAAUGUGAUAAUGUAUGCAAACUAACACCCCCUACCAGCACACAGUAGCAAUGAAAACAAAGCAAUACAAAAACCUAACUGGGCUUUCUUCUAAUUUAGUUCCGUGGCUUUUUCCUCUCAACUCAUUUCAUUAUUCUGAUUUAGGGAAGCCUGGUAAAUUUUCUGAACCAUCCUCCCCCACCUCCACCUUGGACCUCCCCCUUUGCAUUCUGCUCUAAUCCUCAAACCCAAAGAGAAGAGGUUCCUUUCCCUUCUCCCUUGGGAGUGUUGGGGACCAGGUCUGAUGGGGGAUGAGGGAGGGGCAGAGGAGUCAAGCCCUGCUUUCUCUCCUUCCAUCACCUCUUUCACCUAAGAAGGGAGCCUAGAACUAGUUUCACAGUUUCUGGGGGGUCAUACUUCUGGCUCCUAGUGGAAAGAAGCCAUGAGAGAAAUAGGCAUCUGCUUUCCACCAAGUCGCUUGGUUCCAGGAUGGGUUUGGAAAGAGUAACAUGAGAUCACAGAUUCUAGUUCUGGUCAGUGGGGGCACUGGGUCAGAUUUAUUGCACUUGCAACAGAGUUUAAAUAAGUCCUGGGUGUCUG